AUUGAACGCUGGCGGCAUGCCUUACACAUGCAAGUCGAACGGCAGCACGGGAGCAAUCCUGGUGGCGAGUGGCGAACGGGUGAGUAAAGUAUCGGAACGUGCCCAGUCGUGGGGGAUAACGUAGCGAAGGUUACGCUAAUACCGCAUACGAUCUAUGGAUGAAAGCGGGGGAUCGCAAGACCUCGCGCGAUUGGAGCGGCCGAUAUCAGAUUAGGUAGUUGGUGGGGUAAAGGCUCACCAAGCCGACGAUCUGUAGCUGGUCUGAUAGGACGACCAGACAAACUGGGACUGAGGCACGGCCCAGAAUCCUACGGGAGGCAGAAGUGGGGAAUGUUGGACAAUGGGCGAAAGUCUGAUCCAGCCAUGCCGCGGGAAGGAUGAAGGCCUUCGGGUUGUAAACUGCUUUUGUACGGAGCGAAACGGCUCUCUCUAAUAAAGGGAGCUAAUGACGGUACCGUAAGAAUAAGCACCGGCUAACUACGUGCCAGCAGCCGCGGUAA
rnacentral:rRNA from 1 species